CGGUAUACUAGCAGUACAGCUUACUGGAAAUGGCAACAGAAUAUAAAAAGAAAGUCAGUAUUUAGCUAAAUGCCCACAUACAUUAAAUACAGAAAUCAUAUAUUUCUAAGGUAAAGGUAUUUCAAACUACUGUGGUAGUUUAUCAAUCUCUGAACCGCCAAUGCAAUGCUGACGGUAAAGUUGUAGAGUCCAUUUACUCCUCCCCCUCCCUUGCUGAAAUAAUGUUAUGACCCAUUGAAUGCUCCUUUACUGUUUGAAAGCAGGGGGUGACCUGACAUUUUUAGCAAACUUGCAG